rnacentral:rRNA from 1 species
AGUCGAACGGCAGCACGGGGGCAAYCCUGGUGGCGAGUGGCGAACGGGUGAGUAAUACAUCGGAACGUGUCCUGUAGUGGGGGAUAGCCCGGCGAAAGCCGGAUUAAUACCGCAUACGCUCUACGGAGGAAAGGGGGGGAUCUUAGGACCUCCCGCUACAGGGGCGGCCGAUGGCAGAUUAGCUAGUUGGUGGGGUAAAGGCCUACCAAGGCGACGAUCUGUAGCUGGUCUGAGAGGACGACCAGCCACACUGGGACUGAGACACGGCCCAGACUCCUACGGGAGGCAGCAGUGGGGAAUUUUGGACAAUGGGCGCAAGCCUGAUCCAGCAAUGCCGCGUGUGUGAAGAAGGCCUUCGGGUUGUAAAGCACUUUUGUCCGGAAAGAAAACGCUCUGGUUAAUACCCGGGGCGGAUGACGGUACCGGAAGAAUAAGCACCGGCUAACUACGUGCCAGCAGCCGCGGUAAUACGUAGGGUGCAAGCGUUAAUCGGAAUUACUGGGCGUAAAGCGUGCGCAGGCGGUCCGCUAAGACAGAUGUGAAAUCCCCGGGCUUAACCUGGGAACUGCAUUUGUGACUGGCGGGCUAGAGUAUGGCAGAGGGGGGUAGAAUUCCACGUGUAGCAGUGAAAUGCGUAGAGAUGUGGAGGAAUACCGAUGGCGAAGGCAGCCCCCUGGGCCAAUACUGACGCUCAUGCACGAAAGCGUGGGGAGCAAACAGGAUUAGAUACCCUGGUAGUCCACGCCCUAAACGAUGUCAACUAGUUGUCGGGUCUUCAUUGACUUGGUAACGUAGCUAACGCGUGAAGUUGACCGCCUGGGGAGUACGGUCGCAAGAUUAAAACUCAAAGGAAUUGACGGGGACCCGCACAAGCGGUGGAUGAUGUGGAUUAAUUCGAUGCAACGCGAAAAACCUUACCUACCCUUGACAUGUAUGGAAUCCUGCUGAGAGGUGGGAGUGCCCGAAAGGGAGCCAUAACACAGGUGCUGCAUGGCUGUCGUCAGCUC